GAAACCUCUGCAUGGGAAAGUGAAUAGAUGAGCUGCUUCUGGUUCAUAUCUAUGGGUGUAAUCUUACAAAAAGACUCUUGGUCAUGUGACCCAGACAGUUGGAGUGCCCAGAGGAAAGCCUACAUAUUAAAGAAUAAAAUCCCCCGAGGAGGCUGGCAAGCAAAUGUGUUGAGUUCUUAAAUCUUUGUUCGGUUUUUCUGUUCAGAGUUUUAAUUGCAAAUGAAUUUAUUUCUUCAGCUUAAAGAUCUAAUUUCCUAAUAGUUUCCUCCGCAUUUAUAUACUCUGUAGUGUUUAGGCAGCUCCUGUUAUAAGUUUAUUAAUAUUAUGUAAGUGUUGUUCUUGUAUUUAUGUAUAGUGUAUGUAUUGUAAAUAUACUCAGAGCUUUUCCUUUUUACUGUAAAAUGGUGAUUUUUUUUUGCCCUAUGAUAAUGAAAAGAGAGACUCUCCUAAUGAGGUUCUCUCAGAAGAUUAUUCCAGUCUAUUCUCAGAGAUUUAAAUGAACAAGUGUUAUCGUUUUCAAUGGUGUCUCAGACAUAUUCUGUUGGUGCAUCGCUUUUCUGUAUUCAACUUUCCUAUGAAUUGAGCUGUGAACUGAAAUAGAGUUUAAACCUUUAUCUGUAUGCAUUUGUAUAAUUAUCUGAAUGAAGGCAUGAAGGUUAAAUAAAGCAUUUUGUAUGG
rnacentral:lncRNA from 1 species